GAGAUCAGGGUGGACAUAACGGCGACAGAUAACUGGCUGUGUGAUGGUGAUAGCGGCAGUGGCGAGUUGUCAUCAGCAGCAAUACAGUUUGGUACAUGAUGCGGGCAAAGAAGCAGAUGUCUCGCUGUGUAGUGGUGGAAGCAGCAGUGGUGCGUCAACAUAAAUGGCUGUACAGUAUGGAACAUCAUGGACAAGGCUGGAUUUGAAUAUUGAAUAAUGUCUGGCUGUGUAGUGAGAAAAGUAGAGGCCCUAGUGGUAGUAGUAACUGGUGGCAGCACAGUAUGGAACAAGACGGACAAGGUGCAGGAGAUGUCUGGCUGUGUGAUGGUAGUAGUUGUUUGCAGUACAGUAUAGAACUUGAUGGACAAGGUGCAGAAGAUGUCUGGCCUUGCAGUUGUAGUAUCAGUUAGUGGCAGCAGUGACAGUGUGGAAAAUGACGGACAAGGUGCAGGAGAUGUCUGGCUGUGUGGUGGUAGUAGUAACUGGUGGCAGUAGAGUAUGGAACAUGACAGACAAGGUGCAGGAGAUGUCUGGCUGUGUGAUAGUAGCAGUUGGUGGCAGCACAGUAUGGAACAUGAUGGACAAGAUGCAGGAGAUGUCUGGCCUUGCAGUUGUAGUAGCAGUUGGUGGCAGCACAGUAUGGAACAUGACGGACAAAGUGCAGGAGAUGUCUGGCUGUGUGAUGGUAGCAGUUGGUGGCAGCACAGUAUGGAACAUGACGGACAAGGUGCAGAAGAUGUCUGGCCUUGCAGUUGUAGUAGCAGUUGGUGGCAGCAGUGACAGUGUGGAACAUGACGGACAAGGUGCAGGAGAUGUAUGGCUGUGUGAUGGUAGCAGUUGGUUGCAGCACAGUAUGGAACAUGACGGACAAGGUGCAGAAGAUGUCUGGCCUUGCAGUUGUAGUAUCAGUUGGUGGCAGCACUGACUGUGUGGAACAUUAUUGACAAGGUGCAGGAGAUGUCUGGCUGUGUGGUGGUAGUAGUAACUGGUGGCGGUAGAGUAUGGAACAUGACGGACAAGGUGCAGGAGAUGUCUGGCUGUGUGAUGGUAGUAGUAACUGGUGGCAGUAGAGUAUGGAACAUGACGGACAAGGUGCAGGAGAUGUCUGGCUGUGUGAUGGUAGCAGUUGGUGGCAGCAGUGACAGUGUGGAACAUGAUGGACAAGGUGCAGGAGAUGUCUGGCUGUGUGGUGGUAGUAGUAACUGGUGGCAGUAGAGUAUGGAACAUGACAGACAAGGUGCAGGAGAUGUCUGGCUGUGUGAUGGUAGCAGUUGGUGGCAGCACAGUAUGGAACAUGACGGACAAGGUGCAGGAGAUGUCUGGCCUUGCAGUUGUAGUAGCAGUUGGUGGCAGCACAGUAUGGAACAUGACGGACAAAGUGCAGGACAUGUCUGGCUGUGUGAUGGUAGCAGUUGGUGGCAGCACAGUAUGGAACAUGACGGACAAGGUGCAGAAGAUGUCUGGCUGUGUGAUGGUAGCAGUUGGUGGCAGCAGAGUAUGGAACCUGACGGACAAGGUGCAGGAGAUGUCGGGCUGUGUGAUGGUAGCAGUUGGUGGCAGCACAGUAUGGAACAUGACGGACAAGGUGCAGGAGAUGUCUGGCCUUGCAGUUGUAGUAGCAGUUGGUGGCAGCAGUGACAGUGUGGAACAUGAUGGACAAGGUGCAGGAGAUGUCUGGCCUUGCAGUUGUAGUAGCAGUUGGUGGCAGCAGUAACAGUGUGGAACAUGACGGAUACGGAGCAGGAGAUGUCGGGCUGUGAGGUGGUAGUAAUAACUGGUGGCAGUAGAGUAUGGAACAUGACGGACAAGGUGCAGGAGAUGUCUGGCCUUGCAGUUGUAGUAGCAGUUGGUGGCAGCAGUGACAGUGUGAAACAUGACGGACAAGGUGCAGGAGAUGUCGGGCUGUGUGAUGGUAGCAGUUGGUAGCAGCACAGUAUGGAACAUGACGGACAAGGAGCAGGAGAUGUCUGGCCUUGCAGUUGUAGUAGCAGUUGGUGGCAGCAGUGACAGUGUGGAACAUGAUGGACAAGGUGCAGGAGAUGUCUGGCCUUGCAGUUGUAGUAGCAGUUGGUGGCAGCAGUAACAGUGUGGAACAUGACGGAUACGGAGCAGGAGAUGUCGGGCUGUGAGGUGGUAGUAAUAACUGGUGGCAGUAGAGUAUGGAACAUGACGGACAAGGUGCAGGAGAUGUCUGGCCUUGCAGUUGUAGUAGCAGUUGGUGGCAGCAGUGACAGUGUGAAACAUGACGGACAAGGUGCAGGAGAUGUCGGGCUGUGGUGGGUUUGCAGUGGCGGCAGCACAGUAUGGAACAUGACGGACAAGGAGCAGGAGAUGUCGGGCUGUGUGAUGGUAGCAGUUGGUAGCAGCACAGUAUGGAACAUGACGGACAAGGAGCAGGAGAUGUCUGGCUGUGGUGGGUUUGCAGUGGCGGCAGCACAGUAUGGAACAUGACGGACAAGGAGCAGGAGAUGACGUCUGGCUGUGGUGGGUUUGCAGUGGCGGCAGGAGCAGACAUGUUACUAGUGGACGAACCUAGAACAUUUUCAUUUGCCAAACAUUUGCUAACCAAACCUACAGGUGAAUCUCGAAAAAUUAGAAUAUCGGGCAAAAGUCCAUUUAUUUUAGUAAUGCAAAUUAAAAGGAAUUGCAUUAAUGCAGCUUAAAAUUAGAAUUUUGUGAAAAGGUUUAAUUAAGUGUCAGACUCUAGUCAGCUAAUUCAUAUCCCCUGACCAAAGGCGACCUGGGAUUGUGAUUUUGGGGGUUUUAAAGGCUAUAAGCCAUAAUCAUCCAAAU